rnacentral:lncRNA from 1 species
GAAUGGGGAGGAGAUGAUCAUCUCUAUAGGAACAGGUAACUGAUACAUCUUCUUGGAUUAAUGGAUCAUUAUACAGGAUACCCCUGCAGGCUAAGGUUCUGCUCCUUCCCUACUGGCAAGUUACAGCACGACGAAGAUGAAAUAGACCAGAGGAGCCAUUCUGUCACCUACAUAGCAUCACUGCAGCUGAGCUUACAGUUGUUCUGCUGGAGGACCUGUAGGUUCUGGGGUCCUUGAGGACGCCGCAUCGAACUGCAGCAGGCAAAUACAAUCCUUUCCCUUAAUCCCUGAAGCUCAGCAACGAAGUUUUGUUUCAAGCACCUGGAAGGCAAGAACAGGUGUUGUCAUUUUUCUUCAGCACAUUUUUUUUUUUUUUUUCCCCAGUGUUAUUAAUAACUAGAAUGGAAGAUUUUCAUCCUUGGAUUCUGACUUCUUUCAGAGCUUCUGGAAGGUCCCAAAUUACACAGAGUUUCAGGAGGGACUGCUGUCUCUUCCAUGAAGGCGGCACUGGGGACAAAUAAAAGCAACUGCAGAAAGCA